rnacentral:rRNA from 1 species
CACUUUUAACAACGGAUGUCUUGGUUCUCGCAACGAUGAAGAACGCAGCGAAAUGCGAUACGUAAUGUGAAUUGCAGGAUUUCGUGAAUCAUCAAAUCUUUGAACGCAUAUUGCGCUCGCGGUGUGAGCCGCGAGCACGCCUGUUUGAGCGCCA